GACGAACGCUGGCGGCGUGCCUAAUACAUGCAAGUCGAACGCAGUGGGGACGGGUGAGUAACACGUGGGUAACCUCCCAUCAGAGGGGAUAACACUUGGAAACAGGUGCUAAACCGAUACUGAUGGAUGGACCCGCGGUGCAUUAGCUAGUUGGUGAGGUAACGGCUCACCAAGGCCACGAUGCAUAGCCGACCUGGGAGGGGGAACGGCCACAAUGGGAAUUGGAAACGGGCCAGACCUCUACGGGGGGCAGCAGGAGGGAAACCUCGGCAAUGGGAGGAACCCUGACCGGGCAACGCCGCGUGAGGGAAGAAGGGUUUCGGAUCGUAAAGCUCUGUUGGUAAGGAAGCGGUACUUAACCAGAAAGGGACGGCUAACUACGUGCCAGCAGCCGUGGUAAUAC
rnacentral:rRNA from 1 species